UACGGGGGGGGCGAGCGUUGUUCGGAAUUACUGGGCGUAAAGCGUGCGCAGGCGGCUUUGCAAGACAGAUGUGAAAUCCCCGGGCUCAACCUGGGAACUGCAUUUGUGACUGCAAGGCUAGAGUACGGUAGAGGGGGAUGGAAUUCCGCGUGUAGCAGUGAAAUGCGUAGAUAUGCGGAGGAACACCGAUGGCGAAGGCAAUCCCCUGGACCUGUACUGACGCUCAUGCACGAAAGCGUGGGGAGCAAACAGG
rnacentral:rRNA from 1 species